rnacentral:rRNA from 1 species
UCUGGUUGAUCCUGCCAGUAGUCAUAUGCUUGUCUCAAAGACUAAGCCAUGCACGUCUAAGUACAAACUAAAUGAUGGUGAAACUGCAAAUGGCUCAUUACAACGGUUAUGAUGUACCCGGGAGUUCCGAUGGAUAUUUCCAGUAACACUAGAACUAAUACAUGCUCCUGCGUUUAUUAGUUUCGCACAGUCCGUCGCUGAGUCAUGGUAAACAGUUGAUCGACUCGACGUCCCGGAACAGUUUCCGCCCCAUCAGCUUCGAUGGUUGGGUAUUGGCCUACCAUUGCAACAACGGGUAACGAGGAAUUAGGGUUUGAUUUCGGAGAGGGAGCCUGAGAAACGGCUACCACAUCUACGGAUGGCAGCAGGCGCGCAAAUUACCCAAUGCAGACACUGUGAGGUAGUGACGAGAAAUAAUAAAGCGGGACUUCUGUUUCGCUAUUAUAAUGAGGAAUAACCAAAGGUCAUUCCGAUUAGCAACUGAUGGGAAAGUCUGGUGCCAGCAGCCGCGGUAAUACCAGCGUCAGUAGCAUAUAUUAAAAUUGUUGCAGUUAAAACGUCCGUAGUCUGUACGUCGUCCCAAACUCACUGCAGUCUUCCGUUUUCUUAAUUGAAUGCGGUAGUUUCUGCAGUCACUCCCUUGAUCAAAUUAGGUUGUUCAAGGUAGACCAAGUCUUCAUAUUUUCACAUGGAAUUGGGUGAGGGAACUUAAGAGUUUAAGUUUCUCGUCUUAGGAUCAUCCGGGGUCAUUCGUACUCGUCCGCGAGAGGUGAAAUUCUUGGACCGGACGAAGACGACCAGCAGCGAAAGCAUCUGUCAGGGAUGUUUUCUGCGACAAAGGACGAAGGUCAGGGUAUCGAAGACGAUUAGAUACCGUCGUAGUCCUGACUGUAAACUAUGCCAACUUGGGUCUUGCUGGGCGAUGCUUUGUGAGACCCACACAGAAAUGAAAGUGUAUGGGUUCUGGGGGUAGUAUGGACACAAGUCUGAAACUUGAAGGAAUUGACGGAAGAGCACCAUAAGACGUGGAGCUUGCGGCUUAAUUUGACCCAACGCGGGAAAACUUACCAGGUCAAGACAUGGGCGAGAUCGAAGAGCGUCGUGUAGGGAAAGAGUGUAGAUCUCG